AUUGAACGCUGGCGGCAGGCCUAACACAUGCAAGUCGAACGAGUGGCGGACGAGUGAGUAAUGUCUGGGAAACUGCCUGAUGGAGGGGGAUAACUACUGGAACCGGUAGACAAUACCGCAUACCAUCGGAUGUGCCCAGAUGGGCUUAGCUAGUAUGUGGGGUAACGGCUCACCUAGGCGACGAUCCCUAGCUGGGCUGAGAGGAUGACCAGCCACACUGGAAGUGAGACACGGUCCAGACUCCUACGGGAGGCAGCAGUGGGGAAUAUUGCACAAUGGGCGAAAGCCUGAUGCAGCCAUGCCGCGUGUAUGAAGAAGGCCUUCGGGUUGUAGAGUACGUUCAGCGGGGAGGCGUUACCCGCAGAAGAAGCACCGGCUAACUCCGUGCCAGCAGCCGCGGUAAUUC
rnacentral:rRNA from 1 species